UACGUAGGGUGCGAGCGUUAAUCGGAAUUACUGGGCGUAAAGCGUGCGCAGGCGGUUUUGUAAGCCAGAUGUGAAAGCCCCGGGCUUAACCCGGGAAUGGCAUUGAAUACUACUGUGCUGGAGGAUCGGAGGGGGGACUGGAAUUCUUGGUGUAGCAGUGAAAUGCGUAGAUAUCAAGAGGAACACCAGUGGCGAAGGCGAGUCCCUGGACGAUACCUGACACUGAGGCACGAAAGCCAAGGGAGCAAACAGG
rnacentral:rRNA from 1 species